rnacentral:rRNA from 1 species
UACAGAGGGUGCAAGCGUUGUUCGGAAUUAUUGGGCGUAAAGGGCGCGUAGGCGGUGCGGUAAGUCACCUGUGAAACCCCCGGGCUCAACUCGGGGCCUGCAGUCGAUACGGGCAGGCUAGAGUUCGGUAGGGGAGACUGGAAUUCCUGGUGUAGCGGUGAAAUGCGCAGAUAUCAGGAGGAACACCGGUGGCGAAGGCGGGUCUCUGGGCCGAUACUGACGCUGAGGAGCGAAAGCGUGGGGAGCGAACAGG